rnacentral:rRNA from 1 species
UACGAAGGGGGCUAGCGUUGCUCGGAAUCACUGGGCGUAAAGGGUGCGUAGGCGGGUUUUUAAGUCAGGGGUGAAAUCCUGGAGCUCAACUCCAGAACUGCCUUUGAUACUGAAGAUCUUGAGUCCGGGAGAGGUGAGUGGAACUGCGAGUGUAGAGGUGAAAUUCGUAGAUAUUCGCAAGAACACCAGUGGCGAAGGCGGCUCACUGGCCCGGUACCGACGCUGAGGCACGAAAGCGUGGGGAGCAAACAGG